rnacentral:tRNA from 2 species
GGUUUCAUAUUGUAGUGGUUAUCACAUCUGCUUUGCAUGCAGAAGGUUCUGGGUUCAAUCCCCAGGGAAAGCA